rnacentral:rRNA from 1 species
AUUGAACGCUGGCGGCAGGCUUAACACAUGCAAGUCGAGCGGGGGAAGGUAGCUUGCUACUGGACCUAGCGGCGGACGGGUGAGUAAUGCUUAGGAAUCUGCCUAUUAGUGGGGGACAACAUCUCGAAAGGGAUGCUAAUACCGCAUACGUCCUACGGGAGAAAGCAGGGGAUCUUCGGACCUUGCGCUAAUAGAUGAGGCUAAGUCGGAUUAGCUAGUUGGUGGGGUAGAGGCCUACCAAGGCGACGAUCUGUAGGGGGUCUGAGAGGAUGAUCCGCCACACUGGGACUUAGACACGGCCCAGACUCCUACGGGAGGCAGCAGUGGGGAAUAUUGGACAAUGGGGGGAACCCUGAUCCAGCCAUGCCGCGUGUGUGAAGAAGGCCUUAUGGUUGUAAAGCACUUUAAGCGAGGAGGAGGCUACUCUAGUUAAUACCUAGGGAUAGUGGACGUUACUCGCAGAAUAAGCACCGGCUAACUCUGUGCCAGCCGCCGCCGUAA